AAAGAUUAAGCCAUGCAUGUCUAAGUAUAAGCAAUUAUACGGCGAAACUGCGAAUGGCUCAUUAAAUCAGUUAUCGUUUAUUUGAUAGUACUUUAUUACUUGGAUAACCGUGGUAAUUCUAGAGCUAAUACAUGCUAAAAAUCCCGACUCACGAAGGGAUGUAUUUAUUAGAUUAAAAACCAAUGCCCCUCGGGGCUUAUAGGUGAUUCAUAAUAACUUCUCGAAUCGCAUGGCCUUGCGCUGGCGAUGGUUCAUUCAAAUUUCUGCCCUAUCAACUUUCGAUGGCAGGGUCUUGGCCUGCCAUGGUUUCAACGGGUAACGGAGGGUUAGGGCUCGANNCCGGAGAAGGAGCCUGAGAAACGGCUACUACAUCCAAGGAAGGCAGNAGGNGNNNAAAUUACCCAAUNCCGACACGGGGAGGUAGUGACAAUAAAUACUGAUACAGGGCUCUUUUGGGUCUUGUAAUUGGAAUGAGUACAAUUUAAAUCCCUUAACGAGGAACAAUUGGAGGGCAAGUCUGGUGCCAGCAGCCGCNGUAAUUCCAGCUCCAAUAGCGUAUAUUAAAGUUGUUGCAGUUAAAAAGCUCGUAGUUGAACCUUGGNCCUGGCUGGCCGGUNCGCCUCACCGCGUGCACUGGUCUNGCCGGGCCNUUUCCUCUGGGGAGCCCCAUGCCCUUCACUGGGUGUGGUGGGGAACCAGAACUUUUACUGUGAAAAAAUUAGAGUGUUCAAAGCAGGCCUAUGCUCGAAUACAUCAGCAUGGAAUAAUAGAAUAGGACGUGUGGUUCUAUUUUGUUGGUUUCUAGGACCGCCGUAAUGAUNAAUANNNNCAGUCGGGGGCAUCAGUAUUCAAUUGUCAGAGGUGAAAUUCUUGGAUUUAUUGAAGACUAACUACUGCGAAAGCAUUUGCCAAGGAUGUUUUCANUAAUCAGGAACGAAAGUUAGGGGAUCGAAGACANNNAGAUACCGUCGUAGUCUUNACCAUAAACUAUGNCGACUAGGGAUCGGACGAUGNUAUUUUUUGACUCGUUCGGCACCUUA
rnacentral:rRNA from 1 species